ACCUGGGUGGCUCAGUCGGUUAAACGUCUGACUUCAGCUCAGAUCAUGAUCUUACAGUUUGUGGGUUCAAGCCCCACAUCAGGCU
rnacentral:tRNA from 1 species